UACGUAGGGGGCUAGCGUUGUCCGGAAUCAUUGGGCGUAAAGAGCUCGUAGGCGGUUUGUUGCGUCGGCUGUGAAAUCCCGAGGCUCAACCUCGGGUCUGCAGUCGAUACGAGCAAACUAGAGUGUUGCAGGGGAGACUGGAAUUCCUGGUGUAGCGGUGAAAUGCGCAGAUAUCAGGAGGAACACCGGUGGCGAAGGCGGGUCUCUGGGCAACAACUGACGCUGAGGAGCGAAAGCGUGGGGAGCAAACAGG
rnacentral:rRNA from 1 species